AAAGAAAAGAAAUACCGCCGCUGUACUCAAGCAAAUCCCUUUCAGGUUCUCACGAGAGCCGCUGAAACAUUAUCUAAAUCCCGUCUUCCUGUUACAGAUGAGGAAACUGGGGCGCACCUUGGCUCGUUCAAGGUGUCCUCAGAUAUCAAGUGGCAGAGCUGAUGCUGGAGUCUCAGGCGAGAGCAGCACCCUUUGACCUUUUCAACUCUUACCCGCCUGAAAAUGGAGGAAAAAAGGGACAAUAAUGCCUGCUCUACCUUCCAAGGAUGUUGAAAUUAUCAAACAGAUUGUGGAUAUUCAAGUGAUUUGGAAAAUUGUCAGAAUUUCCAGGGCCAGGGAUUGAACCUGCACCAGAGCAGAGACCUGAGCCACUGCAGUGACAAUGCCAAAUCGUUAAUCCACUGGGACACCAGGGAACUCCUCACUGAGAUUCUAGAGCCACCCGGAUUGGAAGCGGCUAAACGGCCUCCCACCCUUAAUCUCACUGUCUGAAUGAUAAAUCCUGCAGGACUUCUCCUUCCAUUCAAGCCCUUCACACUCUCCUUUGAGGAGCUGCUGCCUCCACCCCCCGACUUGUGUGACCGAUGACCAAUUGGAGAUGCCACAAGGAACAAAACUCAGCGAGGCCAGAAGGUCGUUUGGUGCCCAAACUGCCACUCUAGGAAAUGUCUGCAAAUUCAUCCGUGUAAUGUAGUUGAUCAAUGAGGACAACAUGGUGGGUUUGCAUUCUCUCUCGCCCCAAGGAAGCUCAGAGGAACAAAAUGGUAACUGAUCACUUGGACUUUGUUGUCCAGUAAUCAUGAAAGACGCAAAGGAUCCUGGUUCUUCUCCCUAUGAUGAGCUGCAAUCCCGAGGAUUUAUUGUGAGAUAAGGGGGCAGAUUCAAGGGUACAACAGUCUGUGGUCUUGAAAUAGGACAAAGGUAUUGGUUCCUUACAGGAAUGAAGCCAGUGAACUUAGA